rnacentral:rRNA from 1 species
UGGGGAAUCUUGGACAAUGGGGGCAACCCUGAUCCAGCCAUGCCGCGUGAGUGAUGAAGGCCUUAGGGUCGUAAAGCUCUUUCGCCUGUGAAGAUAAUGACGGUAGCAGGUAAAGAAACCCCGGCUAACUCCGUGCCAGCAGCCGCGGUAAUACGGAGGGGGUUAGCGUUGUUCGGAAUUACUGGGCGUAAAGCGCACGUAGGCGGACCAGAAAGUUGGGGGUGAAAUCCCGGGGGCUCAACCCCGGAACUGCCUCCAAAACUAUUGGUCUAGAGUUCGAGAGAGGUGAGUGGAAUUCCAAGUGUAGAGGUGAAAUUCGUAGAUAUUUGGAGGAACACCAGUGGCGAAGGCGGCUCACUGGCUCGAUACUGACGCUGAGGUGCGAAAGUGUGGGGAGCAAACAGGAUUAGAUACCCUGGUAGUCC